AUGGAGCGAGAGAGAGAGCCCGGUUCCCUUGUGCACACAGCUCACAUGCUCGGGGCGAAGCCCGUGCUGGCGAUGUGGAGUUUAACACCCAGGUGCUGCACAACCCAGGCUCACGCGCGCUCUCCGGACGAAAUGCAAGACAUUAUUAUUGGAGACAACAAUCACAACAUGUAUUCUCUUUGUCCCCGCCCCCGCUGUUUUCUCCAUCUUUGCUGUCGGACUCUGGAAUCCAACUGGACCGCUCUGCGCUCCCCGGCGCCCGCGCAGCUUCCUAACCUGGCGCCUGGGGGCGGCCCCACAGCGCGCACGCUCUGUUCCGGAACCGCUCACGGAGGGCGCCAGGGGCUGCGAGCCGGGAAGGGGACGCCCACGGCCGGCAAGGGGGCGCUGUCCCCAGAGGCCUCUGACCCUGCGGAGCAUCGUCCCGCCCUGGAGCGACGGAUUGGGAGAGGAGGCCUGAGUCACGCACGGAGUAACCCACCACUGAAGACAGGUCCUGACUGCAGACCCCUCGGUCCUCUCCCAGUGCCACCUCCUUUCAGGGUUGCCUCUGCGGAGCCCUGCACGGGGUGGAGGGGGGCCGCUCAGUAAAUAUUUGUGGAUGGGAUUCCAGGAUCUCGUCAAGCCUUAUGACUGCCCUGUUUUAUACAGUAGGAUGUGUCUAAGCCGUAUCUUCGCACUCAUUUAUUCAUUCACUUAUUCUGCAUUUCCUGAGUGCCUCCUGUGUGCCCGCACUGAAGUGAGCGCCAGGGGAAGAGCCCUACUCACACGGAGCAGCGGGACGCGGAGCUGUCCUCUGAGCAGGGGGUUCGCGUCCGCGAGGGAUGGCCCUGAGCUCCCAGCCCGCAGCCCUUGGAGUUGAGCGCAGGCCCAGAGCCCACAGCCCCGUCUACUCUGGGGUGUCAGGGGGAGGGAACUCGGGAGCUCCCAGGCCGUGCCAAAGCCUAGAGCACGCGGGAGGGGAGGGCCGGGAUGACUCUGCUCGGAGGAGAGGAGAGAAAAUACGAGAAGGGAAUUCCGCGAGGGAAGGGCUAGAGGCGAGGGAGCGGGAAGCCAGGACACCGGAGACCAGGGUGGGAUGGGGGUAGAGGUGUGAGAAGAGAGAAAUCAGACCAGACGGCAGGGUGAAUAAGGGAGAACUGAGGACGCCGACGUGCUCUCCGAGAGCCAGGGAGCCGCGGGCCGUCGAGGGGGCCCUUGGGUGGGCAUCGCGGCGAACCCGACGCGGGAUCCAGCGCUUGCCUGCCUCUCUGGCCGCCCAAGUUGGCUGGGGGCGAGGUUGUCGCUCCUUAGGUCAUUUUAGAAAAGCAGUAGGUGUGUUCUGUCACAGGCCGGGAUUCACGGUCAAAGUCACUCGUGCCCGGCCACCCCCAGCGAAACCUGUUUGGCUUCUAUUCUCCGCAGGAUUCCACACUCGGGAGAAGCUGGCGGAGCCUGGCCCAGGGAGGCCGCGGCCAGUCGGGACAGGGGGCUGGAGUCCGGCUCCCGCACCCGGACCCGGUGACUGCGGGCGGCGCCCGCCUCCCGGCCAGCGGCACCUGAGAGGGGAGCGGGCGGGCAGAGCGGCGGUCCCGGGGCGGCGGGGCGCGGAUCCCCCGGAGGGACCUGGGAGGCGGAGGGGCGGGCCGGGGGCGGGCGCGGGGGAAGUGGCCUCCCUGCAGGUCGGAGCCGGGACGCGCCGGCCCGGGACGCAGGGAGGGGGCCCGCGUCGAGAAGGAGGGAGUGGCCGCGCCGCCUUCGAGAGUCAUUGGAGGACGCGGCCGCCCGAAGCUGAUAAAUAAGGGGCCGGGCCGCGGCUGCCGGCCAAGCUGGACGCCCCGACCGGUGCGAGGGCCAGGUCAGCGCCGGCCCGUCGACGCGAAGC
ensembl:lncRNA